GCAAUACCAUGGGUAAUUGCGAAGUGGGGGCAAACUAGGGAGGGUCGUUUUUGACAGAAUUACAGAACUAAAUCACCUAUUGCUGCCACUAUGUUAUCAGAGUACAGUUUUUUCUUUAUUUGUUUGAUUGUAGUUUUACACAUCACAUGCUGGGCAUGAGGCCACAUAGUAGACUACUAAAAUGCAGGCCACAGGUCUAACCACAUUGGUGACUGCAUAAGUGCAUAGAGGGGAUCAGGGGCGGUGUACUAAUUGGAGAUUCCAUCGUUCCAGUAUAGCUGUGUACUUGUGUAGAGUAGGGCCAAAUAAAAUUUGUCCUCUCUAUUCAUUGGACGGAAAACCACAGAUUCCGUGACAAUUAUCUGGGAGUUCUAGUAUCUUCCCACUACCUUGGCAUUGAUCUAUUUUUAUUUAUAAGAACAAGAAAACCCUUGUUGUACACACAAAUAUUUGGUUUUCUCUAGCAGCAAAUUGCAUAAAAAUAAAUCUUUAUUGUAUGAAACUUGUGGGCAAAAGAUCUCUUGCAAUGCAUUUGAAGUUGCACUGUCAAGUGUUGAACUGUCAUCUCUUGUGCAGUAUCCAGGCUAACCAUUCCAACUUUUUAUGUAAAAGUGCUUCUAUGCUACUCGUAAAAAGAUACCAAGGAAGCUUCAUUAAUCAGUACAGUGAAUUAUGGAGCUGUCUGUCUCUGGCACCAACUCAGGGUAAAUCAUUUUUAGCCGUUGAUGCUAUGUUAGCUUAAACAAUUUUCUCUGGAGAUCACCGAACUGCUUGCUUAUUUAAAUGCACACUGUGCUUAUUCCUAGGAUUGCAUCUCGUAAAACUGCAUAUGUACGGCCUGUUACUUGUCUACUUUGGAUUGGUUAGUGUUUUAAUUUAAUCAUCUUUUUAUUAUAAGAUCUUUACUUUCCUCUAUUUUCCAGACUUGUGAAUAUUAAAAAGUAGGGGUCUGUUCCAAACAAAGAUCAAUUAAUUAGUUGCAUAAUGGUGGUUUUGGUGGACAUACAUGUGAUCCCCAAUACCAAUUUGAAAGGUUAAUUGUUCUAGAGAAACUCAAUGUUGUCUCAGUUUAGGAAGGACUUUAAAGAUUGUCAGAAUGUUAACUUGUUAACUUACUAUAUUUAUAGGUUAAGUUUGCUUGAUUCCAUCCAUGGGAACGUGUUCUUGUCCCCUGUUCAGGAAGGAAAUAAUUAAUAUACUUAUUUGAUUCAUUAUUCCGUGACAUGUACAGGAAUCUUGAUGCCUCUUGGCAAUGCAACAAGCCAACACCAUACAACUGCUAUAAUUUAUAUAGCUUGAACCUUUUUUCUAACUUUUUACAUAUGAAAUGCAUUACAUACCAUUUCAGUUAUUUUUUUUCUCAAAACCAAUUAUUCAGAAAUCAAGACUGGAGAGUAGCACCCUUAUAUUGUUUUGAUUUAACCAUAAUUGCAUUAAUCAAGACUGGAUAGUAUGGUAGAGCACUCCUUUACAUUUUGUAUUCCUAAUGAUCUAACCUGUUUUCUAGUGCUCGCCGUAUAUUUGUUUGAUGCAGCAUAGAGGGGGUGUACAUUGCUUGGAUUAAUUGGAUGCUGAUGAGAAGACACUAGUUGGAGAGUGACAUCAAAGAUAUAGUACAAGGCACCAUGAAUACUCAUCUUCGAGUCACCUUGACAUCAUUCAUAUGAAAACAAAUGCUAUGUUCACUUUUCUUUUCCUGCUUUCCCUUUAAUAUAAUGGUUCAGUCACUACCCUAGAGCCCACUGGAAAUAAAUAUAGUUGCUACUUGUCUCAUAUUUGACCAAAAGCUUGGGUUUUCUUUAGUGGCAUGCCAAUACUACCAUCAGCUCUCCUCCACCAGCUAUGGAGGUCUUCUUAAUUCCCGCCAAUCAGAUACCGGUUUGGUUGUUAAAAUUCUCCUGUGGGUGGGCCCCAACCCAAAGGCAACCUAAUGUUUGGUAUCCAUGAGGAGUCACCACCACCAUGGAUCCAAUUGGCAUUGGGCAUGUUAAACUAAUAUAGGGUUGCUGUUACUUAGCAUAAAACUGUGUAAAAUGAUUUCUGCUCUGCCAUCUGUUGCAUGCUCUUGUAUGAUUUGAAGACAGGGUGUAAAUCAGUUCUGAAUAUUUACCAUUUUUCUCCAAGUAAUUAUUUAAUAACCCUGUCCACACUGAUGAAUUCUCACAGGACACUUUGAAUAGGUGGGAUCAGUUAUUCAAGAAAAGAUCUGGUGCAAUUACAUUAUUAAUCGAGGCAUGCAACUGUGUUGCGCGCAAUCAUGGAGGCUUAGAAUCUGACAACUAAGCUAAAAUCAAGAUCUCGAAGUUGUACACUCGAACUGCAUUGGUUUAUGGAAAUUUGAAUAUUCCAAGUCAAGGGGAGAUGAUUCGUGCAUGAGUAUAUUUUCAGCUUUGCUAUGUGUACCAUGGGAAAUAUCACAUGGAGCUAGCUCAUCAGAUAUGAUGAACUCUGCAACAGCUACUGAAAUCUAAGAAUGAUGUAUAUGACUGAAGCAUCUGAUGGCAAUGCUGAGGAACUGAACUCUCAGCUCUAGAGUGCUCAGCACUGCUUGGUAUUUGAUCAAAGUUUCAGAAAGUGACAAGGGAGAAACGGAAACUGCGAAGAAAGGUUCUUGAUACCUGCCGGAUGUGAUGAUUGAGGUGCAAUGGCAGAUGUUGCCACUUCUCCAGAUCAUUUGGCUAAGAUGAUCUUUUUUUUCCCUUCCCGGCGAAAAGAUGAUCUUUUCUCUGAGAGGGACACUGAGUUGAGUUGUUGAUACAGAAGGUGAAAUAACUUUUUUUCAACACAGAUCUGGAGCAAGUACGCUAGAAUCUCGUCCCCUCCUCUCUGGGAGUGUAUAUAGAUAUAAUAAUUUGCUGGUUAGGAGGGAGCAUGCAUGUCCUGAUGCUUAUUUUCGUCAUAACCUUGUUAUUAAUUAUAUGCCAUAAUUGCUAAUUGUCUAUGUAAGCAUCAAGGAUGAAGCAUCUCGGUUCAAAUGGUCAAAUUGCCAGCACUUUUUUUUUGCUGCCAGAAUUCGUACUUGAUGUACCCAGUGUAAUUAAACAAGAUGCAAGAUGCACUUAUUGUGUUGUCAUCAUCUACGUCAGUGAAGCACAACAACCUGUUGAA